rnacentral:rRNA from 1 species
ACUAAGCGUACACGGUGGAUGCCCUGGCAGUCAGAGGCGAUGAAGGACGUGCUAAUCUGCGAAAAGCGUCGGUAAGGUGAUAUGAACCGUUACAGCCGGCGAUGUCCGAAUGGGGAAACCCAGUGUGAUUCGUCACACUAUCGUUAACUGAAUACAUAGGUUAACGAGGCGAACCGGGGAACUGAAACAUCUAAGUACCCGAGGAAAAGAAAUCAACCGAGAUUCCCCCAGUAGCGGCGAGCGAACGGGGAGCAGCCCAGAGUCUGAAUCAGCUUGUGUGUUAGUGGAACGGUCUGGAAAGUCCGACGGUACAGGGUGAUAGUCCCGUACACCAAAAUGCACAGGCUGUGAACUCGAAGAGUAGGGCGGGACACGUGGUAUCCUGUCUGAAUAUGGGGGGACCAUCCUCCAAGGCUAAAUACUCCUGACUGACCGAUAGUGAACCAGUACCGUGAGGGAAAGGCGAAAAGAACCCCGGCGAGGGAGUGAAAAAGAACCUGAAACCGUGUACGUACAAGCAGUGGGAGCACCUUCGGGUGUGACUGCGUACCUUUUGUAUAAUGGGUCAGCGACUUAUAUUCUGUAGCAAGGUUAACCGUAUAGGGGAGCCGCAGGGAAACCGAGUCUUAACUGGGCGUUAAGUUGCAGGGUAUAGACCCGAAACCCGGUGAUCUAGCCAUGGGCAGGUUGAAGGUUGGGUAACACUAACUGGAGGACCGAACCGACUAAUGUUGAAAAAUUAGCGGAUGACUUGUGGCUGGGGUGAAAGGCCAAUCAAACCGGGAGAUAGCUGGUUCUCCCCGAAAGCUAUUUAGGUAGCGCCUCGUGAAUUCAUCUUCGGGGGUAGAGCACUGUUUCGGCNNGGGGUCAUCCCGACUUACCAACCCGAUGCAAACUACGAAUACCGAAGAAUGUUAUCACGGGAGACACACGGCGGGUGCUAACGUCCGUCGUGAAGAGGGAAACAACCCAGACCGCCAGCUAAGGUCCCAAAGUCACAGUUAAGUGGGAAACGAUGUGGGAAGGCACAGACAGCCAGGAUGUUGGCUUAGAAGCAGCCAUCAUUUAAAGAAAGCGUAAUAGCUCACUGGUCGAGUCGGCCUGCGCGGAAGAUGUAACGGGGCUAAACUGUGCACCGAAGCUGCGGCAGCGACACUAUGUGUUGUUGGGUAGGGGAGCGUUCUGUAAGCCUGCGAAGGUGGCCUGUGAGGGUUGCUGGAGGUAUCAGAAGUGCGAAUGCUGACAUAAGUAACGAUAAUGCGGGUGAAAAGCCCGCACGCCGGAAGACCAAGGGUUCCUGUCCAACGUUAAUCGGGGCAGGGUGAGUCGACCCCUAAGGCGAGGCCGAAAGGCGUAGUCGAUGGGAAACAGGUUAAUAUUCCUGUACUUGGUGUUACUGCGAAGGGGGGACGGAGAAGGCUAUGUUAGCCGGGCGACGGUUGUCCCGGUUUAAGCAUGUAGGCGGAGGUUCCAGGUAAAUCCGGUACCUUUUUAACGCUGAGGUGUGAUGACGAGGCACUACGGUGCUGAAGUAACAAAUGCCCUGCUUCCAGGAAAAGCCUCUAAGCAUCAGGUAACAUUGAAUCGUACCCCAAACCGACACAGGUGGUCAGGUAGAGAAUACCAAGGCGCUUGAGAGAACUCGGGUGAAGGAACUAGGCAAAAUGGUGCCGUAACUUCGGGAGAAGGCACGCUGAUAUGUAGGUGAAGCCCCUGCGGGUGGAGCUGAAAUCAGUCGAAGAUACCAGCUGGCUGCAACUGUUUAUUAAAAACACAGCACUGUGCAAACACGAAAGUGGACGUAUACGGUGUGACGCCUGCCCGGUGCCGGAAGGUUAAUUGAUGGGGUUAUCCGUAAGGAGAAGCUCUUGAUCGAAGCCCCGGUAAACGGCGGCCGUAACUAUAACGGUCCUAAGGUAGCGAAAUUCCUUGUCGGGUAAGUUCCGACCUGCACGAAUGGCGUAAUGAUGGCCAGGCUGUCUCCACCCGAGACUCAGUGAAAUUGAACUCGCUGUGAAGAUGCAGUGUACCCGCGGCAAGACGGAAAGACCCCGUGAACCUUUACUAUAGCUUGACACUGAACAUUGAGCCUUGAUGUGUAGGAUAGGUGGGAGGCUUUGAAGCGUGGACGCCAGUCUGCGUGGAGCCAACCUUGAAAUACCACCCUUUAAUGUUUGAUGUUCUAACGUUGGCCCCUGAUCGGGGUUGCGGACAGUGUCUGGUGGGUAGUUUGACUGGGGCGGUCUCCUCCCAAAGAGUAACGGAGGAGCACGAAGGUUAGCUAAUCCUGGUCGGACAUCAGGAGGUUAGUGCAAUGGCAUAAGCUAGCUUGACUGCGAGCGUGACGGCGCGAGCAGGUGCGAAAGCAGGUCAUAGUGAUCCGGUGGUUCUGAAUGGAAGGGCCAUCGCUCAACGGAUAAAAGGUACUCCGGGGAUAACAGGCUGAUACCGCCCAAGAGUUCAUAUCGACGGCGGUGUUUGGCACCUCGAUGUCGGCUCAUCACAUCCUGGGGCUGAAGUAGGUCCCAAGGGUAUGGCUGUUCGCCAUUUAAAGUGGUACGCGAGCUGGGUUUAGAACGUCGUGAGACAGUUCGGUCCCUAUCUGCCGUGGGCGCUGGAGAAUUGAGGGGGGCUGCUCCUAGUACGAGAGGACCGGAGUGGACGCAUCACUGGUGUUCGGGUUGUCAUGCCAAUGGCAUUGCCCGGUAGCUAAAUGCGGAAGAGAUAAGUGCUGAAAGCAUCUAAGCACGAAACUUGCCCCGAGAUGAGUUCUCCCUGAGACUUUAAGUCUCCUGAAGGAACGUUAAAGACGAUGACGUUGAUAGGUCGGGUGUGUAAGCGUAGCGAUACGUUGAGCUAACCGAUACUAAUGAACCGUGAGGCUUAACC